rnacentral:rRNA from 1 species
UGGGGGAAUAUUGGGCAAUGGACGCAAGUCUGACCCAGCAACGCCGCGUGAAGGAAGAAGGCUUUUCGGGUUGUAAACUUCUUUGACAGGGGAAGAGUAGAAGACGGUACCCUGAAAACAAGCCACGGCUAACUACGUGCCAGCAGCCGCGGUAAUACGUAGGUGGCAAGCGUUGUCCGGAUUUACUGGGUGUAAAGGGCGUGUAGCCGGGUCGGCAAGUCAGAUGUGAAAUCUGGAGGCUCAACCUCCAAACUGCAUUUGAAACUGUUGAUCUUGAGUAUCGGAGAGGUAAUCGGAAUUCCUAGUGUAGCGGUGAAAUGCGUAGAUAUUAGGAGGAACACCAGUGGCGAAGGCGGAUUACUGGACGACAACUGACGGUGAGG